GCGCACCAGGCGCGAAACCUCCGCAAUGCGGGAAACCGCGACGGGGGACCCCGAGUGCCGUGGCAACGCCACGGCUUUUCCGGAGUGUAAAAAGCUCCGGGAAUAAGGGCUGGGCAAGGCCGGUGGCAGCCGCCGCGGUAAUACCGGCGGCCCGAGUGGUGGCCGCUAUUAUUGGGCCUAAAGCGUCCGUAGCCGGGCCCGUAAGUCCCUGGCGAAAUCCCACGGCUCAACCGUGGGGCUUGCUGGGGAUACUGCGGGUCUUGGGACCGGGAGAGGCGGGGGGUACCCCUGGGGUAGGGGUGAAAUCCUAUAAUCCCAGGGGGACCGCCAGUGGCGAAGGCGCCCCGCUGGAACGGGUCCGACGGUGAGGGACGAAGGCCAGGGGAGCAAACCGGAUUAGAUACCGUGUAGU
rnacentral:rRNA from 1 species